UACGGGGGGAGCAAGCGUUGUUCGGAUUUACUGGGCGUAAAGGGCGCGUAGGCGGUCAGCACAAGUCAGUUGUGAAAUCUCCGAGCUUAACUCGGAAAGGUCAACUGAUACUGUGCGACUAGAGUGCAGAAGGGGCAACUGGAAUUCUCGGUGUAGCGGUGAAAUGCGUAGAUAUCGGGAGGAACACCUAUGGCGAAGGCAGCUCGCUGGGACGUUACUGACGCUGAGACGCGAAAGCGUGGGGAGCAAACAGG
rnacentral:rRNA from 1 species